AUCAUGACCUGAGCUGAAGUCGGACGCUCAACCAGCAGCCCACCCAGGUGCCCCCACUGAACCAACAUCUUUUGAAAGGCAUUGGGGAAUGCAGAGCUGAGUGACCUGCUUGUGGAGGAGGAAGCAGCUUGGCAUAGGGAGGUCAGGAGGGCCGGGGCUCCCAUCCUGGCACCUCCUUUUCCUGAGGGUGACUUUCCUCUCUGAGCUUCGGUCCCUUUGCCUGUACAAUGGGGAUGCUCUGGGCCUCGUAAGACUCUUUCAAAGACAGCACAGGACCCACCUGGUACACAUGAAGAACUCAACAUUAGCUGUAUUUGCAACAUCAUCUGGGGAAGAACUGCUGCCUGACCAUCACGAAAGGGGUUAUUUAUUUAAUAGAAAGGGAUUUGUCUUUUAUGGGUUGCCCUGAGACUGGGCUAACGCAUCAUUACUAGGAGGAAAGUGGUUUUGAACUAAGAAGAAUAAGCAAGCGAGCGGGUCUCAGAGAGUUAGAGACCCCUCCCACACAAAACCAUCUAUGUCACAGCCAUGGGGAGACACCCCUCGUUUACAUUUGGGGAGACUGAGGCCCAGCGUGAAAAAACACCUGGGUUCAGCAGGUGGGUGUGUCACUCGUACACAGAGUGCAGGGAAUCCUAGCGAAGGCAUCAUGGGAGUGGGGGAGGUGGUGGGAGGAAGCACCUGUGUUCCACUCACCUGCCAGGGGGCUGCCAUUUUCAAUUUGUUCUACUGACUGAAGUCUUUUAUGAAGCACCUGGUCACAUGGUGCAGGAGUGAGGCAGGCAGGAGUGGUGCUUGCCUGGGGCGGGGCUGCCGGUUAGCCUUAGGAGCCCAGGACUCUGGGAGCUGAGAUAGGUGAGGUCAAAUUGUGAAGCCAUUCCGUGUUACUUAGGAGGAAACUGAGGCUGGACGUGGGGAUGGGGUCUAAACAUCCCAUGGGAGGCCAGAACACUGGCCUCGGGCCCCCUGAGCGAGCCUGCACAGUGGUCAGCUCUGAGCAGGGCUUCUGACCCAACAGGACCACCCUCCCUGACUGCCUACCCACCGGGCCAGCCUGUCCUCCAGGUCCCGGAUCUGGAUGUGGUAGAAUUCUCGGGUCUCCUCGCCUAAAGGCGUUUCCGCUUGCUGGCUGGCCAUGCUGGCAUCCUUCUUGCCACCUUUCUUCUUGACCUCGGGCUCCUGGGCCCCCUUAGUUGCCUUCUUUUUGGGAGCCAUGGCUGGUGGCAGCCACUGCCCCAAGGCCCUUUUAAGAAGCUAGGUGGUUGCUAAGGAAGUUGGUCCUAUACAUAGCAACAAACAGGGAGUGAGGCGGAACUUAAAGGGACCCUGCCCUCUUCCUGGCAAGUUUGGGCACUAGCAACCAGCCUCCGUGUCUGAGGGCAAGCACCAACAGAGGCGACUUGGCUGGGAUCAGCGGCAGCACCGUCAGCACUGAUCGAGCGCUUACUGUUCUUACCGGGGUCCAGCUCAGCAUCACCCUUCCAGAGGCGUCCCUAACAGAAGAGGACAAAGUCCCUUGCCAGGGUCAUGUAGAACAAGGCUGACAGUGGAUUCGACCCAGGCCUGCGCUCACAAGCACUCGGCCAUUGUCUCUAGGGAUGAAUGCCUGGCAUCACGCUGAGGCGGGUGUACAGGCCCCUCAACAGCGCCUGGUUGAGACCCCGCCCCCAGCCUAGACCUGGCCCCCUGGAAAGGCAGGGUGACCAGCGACAGGUCUCGGACCUGUCUUGGUUUAGGAUUGCUCAGUUACUGGUUCAGCAUUGUCUGCUUUGGUUUCAGAACCCCCUGUCCUUCCAAGAAUAUUUACCACCACUGGAGACUUUGUGGAGGAGCCGCCCACAGGCUCCAGUCUGUGCUGUGCAACAAAAGAAGCAGGACUAUUGCUGGAGCAUAAAAAGGGCCAGGUCUCUGGAGGGGAGUGGAAUGGAGACAGGCGUCAGAAACCCUGGGCCAAAGCAUGUCGGGAACGGUCAAGAAGAGGCUAACCGGCGACUUCCCUGGAGGGAAGGAGCAAACAGCAUUUACUUUGCUUUAAUGUAAACUCAGUUUAGAAUAAUUUAGAAAAAAUUAUUUAUCUUA